UCUCCGUAGGUGAACCUGCGGAAGGAUCAUUACUGUAUAACCGAGGUGCGAGGGCUGUCGCUGACCCGAAACUACUUGCACGGGCGAGUGCCCUCACACACAUCCAACCCACCCCGAUGUGCACCCCCGCGUGAGUCCCCCUUUGGUGUUUUCGGAGGGGGUCUUACGUAUCUACACAAACUUUGUCUGCUGGGUAGAAUGUAUUUGUUGUUUUUGCGAUCACGCAAUCACAACAACUUUCAACAACGGCACUCUUGUUUCUCGCGUCGAUGAAGAACG
rnacentral:misc_RNA from 1 species